CCUACGGGCGGCAGCAGUGGGGAAUAUUGCACAAUGGACGCAAGUCUGAACCAGCCAAGUAGCGUGCAGGAUGACGGCCCUCCGGGUUGUAAACUGCUUUUAGUUGGGAAUAAAAGGGGGCUCGUGAGCCCCGUAUUGUAUGUACCAUCAGAAAAAGGACCGGCUAAUUCCGUGCCAGCAGCCGCGGUAAUACGGAAGGUCCGGGCGUUAUCCGGAUUUAUUGGGUUUAAAGGGAGCGUAGGCCGGCUUUUAAGUCAGCUGUGAAAGUCCGCGGCUCAACCUCUUCGAGCCGUUGAAACUGGUUUUCUUGAGUGAGCGAGAAGUAUGCGGAAUGCGUGGUGUAGCGGUGAAAUGCAUAGAUAUCACGCAGAACUCCGAUUGCGAAGGCAGCAUACCGGCGCUCAACUGACGCUCAUGCACGAAAGUGUGGGUAUCGAACAGGAUUAGAUACCCGUGUAGUC
rnacentral:rRNA from 1 species